UUAUUUUCUUCUACGACUAUUUUAGUUGCUCUCUUCUUCUUUUUAACUGUUCCUUAUGCUUAGUUUAGUUGUUUUCUGCGACUGUUUUGGCCUGUGAAAGAAUCAGGUUUUUUAAAUCCUGAUAUUGGAUUGGAAUAUUUCAAUCUCCGGUUUAUAAUGAAACAAGAAAAAAAAAUCUUGCAGCAAUUGAUUGUUUGAUUUUUUUAACGAGAUGGGGCUCAUUUAUUUUUUCUAACUUUUCUUGUGACAAACUUUUUCCUUCAAAGGGCAAUGAUGAUGUUGACGGGUUUUUAUUUUUAUUUUUUAUCUUUGUUGUUUUUCACAUCCAUUCCAUGUUCUAUGAGUUUAUAUGAAGAUCGAGUUACAUAUGUUUGCUAUUCUUAAUUGAUGUUGGUUUCACUACUCUAUAUUUAGAUUGUUAAGUAGUUUCAUUAAGUGAGUUUGUAUCUUGUUAACUCUUGACAUUAACUCAGUGAAGCACUUUAAGAAUAAAAGUAUAUCUACAUGAUGACCUAUUGGUGGAUGAAUGCACAUUUCUAGGUUGUGGUGUAUAAACUUGUAAAUCAUUAGGCUCCUUUUCAGAGAUUAUCUACUUUGUUCCAGUCACAUGUGAUGAAUAUCUCCUGUUUUGUCCCCUUACUGUUGCCAGUUGUUGAGAAAAUGAAUUGCAAUUUUUAUACCACAGAAAUUAGCUGGUGGAGUUUUGUUGCCCAAAUCAGCUGUCAAGUUUGAUGAGGGAGAUAGUUUUGGUCGGUGCUGAAGUAGGAAAAGUUGAGCCGGGAAAGAAGAUAAACGAAUUCAGGAAUUUUUUGAGCAAUCUCAUGCAAAGUGAUGCUUGUCAAAAUGUUGCCAUUUUUGUGGAUUUGGGAAUAGAUACUGGCAUUUCAUUUCUAUAAGACAGUUUUUAUAGCAAAAAGGCCAAGUUAUAGUUUUGGAAAGCAAACGAUGAUCGUUGUUGCUACAAUGACGAUACAAAAUUUUAUCUGAAAACAUGUCGGUCGAAAUGAUGCAGAUUUUAUGGAAUACGAAAAUAUUAAUAGGGUAUAUGAGAAUAUUAUUGAUUCAGAAAAUGUGCAUGGUGGAGAAAGUGAUGAUGAUGGUGGUGGUGGUGGUGAAUCAAACAAUUCAAGUGGUUUUGAAAUGGAAUUAACAAGAUGCUAUAGCUUCUAGUUUAAGGAAUUCACUUUAAAUUGUAAAUACUAAUGUAAAUUUUUUAGUAUUUAUAUUUUGUAUAUAAAUAUUAUCCCUUUUUGAAA